ensembl:snRNA U6 U6 spliceosomal RNA
GGGUUCACUUGAGCAACACACAUACUAAAAUUGGAAUGAUACAGUAAAGUUUAGCAUGGCCUCUGUGCAAGGUUGACACAAAAAUUUGUGAAAUGUUCCAGAUUUUU